UACGAAGGGUGCUAGCGUUGUUCGGAAUCACUGGGCGUAAAGCGCGCGUAGGCGGCGUUUCAAGUCAGGGGUGAAAUCCUUGGGCUCAACCCAAGAAUUGCCUUUGAAACUGUAACGCUGGAGUGUCGGAGGGGAUAGCGGAAUUGCUAAUGUAGAGGUGAAAUUCGUAGAUAUUAGCAGGAACACCGGUGGCGAAGGCGGCUAUCUGGACGACAACUGACGCUGAGGCGCGAAAGCACGGGGAUCAAACAGG
rnacentral:rRNA from 1 species